UGAACUUUCGAUGAUGAUGAUGAUCCCUGAAGACACGAGAAGAGCAAGGAAGUAAGUAACUCCACUUUGACGGGAGAUUUUGAGUAAGGUCUUCAGGAUAAGCGGAGGGGGAGUAUGGUGCGGUGCUGGUGGAGAAUGUUUCGGGUUGACGUUUUCUUUCUCUAUCGUAUGUCUGUUUUGUCGAUAGAGUUUUGAUAUGAAGUUAUGUUAAAUAGAGUUUGAUGUUUAAGAUACUUAAUUUCCUUUGAAAAUCAAGCAAUACACUCACGGUUAUAUGUCUUCAUACAUAUAAUCGAUUCGCCUUUUGCUGCGAUACUCUGCAUAUUAUUCUUCAUUAUGAAAAAUGAGCUAUACCCGUUUUGUUUUUGUU